AGCGAACGCUGGCGGCAGGCCUAACACAUGCAAGUCGAACGGAUCCUUCGGGAUUAGUGGCGGACGGGUGAGUAACACGUGGGAACGUGCCCUUUGGUUCGGAACAACUCAGGGAAACUUGAGCUAAUACCGGAUGUGCCCUUCGGGGGAAAGAUUUAUCGCCAUUGGAGCGGCCCGCGUCUGAUUAGCUAGUUGGUGAGGUAACGGCCCACCAAGGCGACGAUCAGUAGCUGGUCUGAGAGGAUGAUCAGCCACAUUGGGACUGAGACACGGCCCAGACUCCUACGGGAGGCAGCAGUGGGGAAUCUUGCGCAAUGGGCGAAAGCCUGACGCAGCCAUGCCGCGUGAAUGAUGAAGGUCUUAGGAUUGUAAAAUUCUUUCAGCGGGGGCGAUAAUGACGGUACCCGCAGAAGAAGCUCCGGCUAACUUCGUG
rnacentral:rRNA from 1 species